ensembl:lincRNA Gm26765 predicted gene, 26765
GGGAUUUCCUUGGUUGGUUUCCAUAGCUUGAUAGACCAAAAACAAAAACACGGCCACAAGGGCAAACAGCAACAUUUUUAUCCACAUGGGAACGGAGCGUCUCUUCUUUGUCUUUUCUGACUUGACAUCUGCCAAGGGAGCAUACUUCGGGACGUACUUAGAUGAGAACGACUCUUCCAUCCUGAAGUCACUGAGCUCGAGCGGCCGGCCUGCAGCACCUUUGAUUGGUCUGCGGCAGCUAGCACUGUUCAAAGUGAAACAGAAUUCCAGAUGAUUCAAGUCAACAACCAAACCUUAGUGUGAUUUCUAAGCACACUGCAAAAUGCAGCAGCAGAAAAUCGUCAGAUAAAAGCAGGGGAUUGACGUAUCACAUGCUUUUCUUUGUUUGUUUUGUUUUUUGAGACAGGGUUUCUGUGUACCCUUGGCUGUCCUGGAACUCACUCUGUAGACCAGGGCUGUUAUAGAGCAACCAUGUUUCGAAUACUCCAAAAAGUUAGCUGUAUCAUAUUAUAAAAUAGUAUUUAGGAUAAAUACUCUCUAAGCCUGUCUUGGAGGCUGAGUAGUGUACUGUGUGCCUGUAAUCGCAGCACUUGGGAAGUGUGUCAUGAGUCUAACAUCUGCCUUGCAUAUAGGGUAAAUCCAAGAUCAGCCUGGUGACUUGAGAACUUGUCUCAAAAAAGAAAAUAAAACUU